rnacentral:rRNA from 1 species
UACGGGGGGGGGCAAGCGUUGUUCGGAAUUACUGGGCGUAAAGCGUGCGUAGGUGGUUCGUUAAGUCUGAUGUGAAAGCCCUGGGCUCAACCUGGGAAUGGCAUUGGAAACUGACGACCUAGAGUGCGGUAGAGGGUAGUGGAAUUCCCGGUGUAGCAGUGAAAUGCGUAGAGAUCGGGAGGAACAUCCGUGGCGAAGGCGACUACCUGGACCAGCACUGACACUGAGGCACGAAAGCGUGGGGAGCAAACAGG